CGAGUCUUAACUGGGCGUUAAGUUGCAGGGUAUAGACCCGAAACCCGGUGAUCUAGCCAUGGGCAGGUUGAAGGUUGGGUAACACUAACUGGAGGACCGAACCGACUAAUGUUGAAAAAUUAGCGGAUGACUUGUGGCUGGGGGUGAAAGGCCAAUCAAACCGGGAGAUAGCUGGUUCUCCCCGAAAGCUAUUUAGGUAGCGCCUCGUGAAUUCAUCUCCGGGGGUAGAGCACUGUUUCGGCAAGGGGGUCAUCCCGACUUACCAACCCGAUGCAAACUGCGAAUACCGGAGAAUGUUAUCACGGGAGACACACGGCGGGUGCUAACGUCCGUCGUGAAGAGGGAAACAACCCAGACCGCCAGCUAAGGUCCCAAAGUCAUGGUUAAGUGGGAAACGAUGUGGGAAGGCCCAGACAGCCAGGAUGUUGGCUUAGAAGCAGCCAUCAUUUAAAGAAAGCGUAAUAGCUCACUGGUCGAGUCGGCCUGCGCGGAAGAUGUAACGGGGCUAAACCAUGCACCGAAGCUGCGGCAGCGACGCUGAUGCGUUGUUGGGUAGGGGAGCGUUCUGUAAGCCUGCGAAGGUGUGCUGUGAGGCAUGCUGGAGGUAUCAGAAGUGCGAAUGCUGACAUAAGUAACGAUAAAGCGGGUGAAAAGCCCGCUCGCCGGAAGACCAAGGGUUCCUGUCCAACGUUAAUCGGGGCAGGGUGAGUCGACCCCUAAGGCGAGGCCGAAAGGCGUAGUCGAUGGGAAACAGGUUAAUAUUCCUGUACUUGGUGUUACUGCGAAGGGGGGACGGAGAAGGCUAUGUUGGCCGGGCGACGGUUGUCCCGGUUUAAGCGUGUAGGCUGGUUUUCCAGGCAAAUCCGGAAAAUCAAGGCUGAGGCGUGAUGACGAGGCACUGCGGUGCUGAAGCAACAAAUGCCCUGCUUCCAGGAAAAGCCUCUAAGCAUCAGGUAACAUCAAAUCGUACCCCAAACCGACACAGGUGGUCAGGUAGAGAAUACCAAGGCGCUUGAGAGAACUCGGGUGAAGGAACUAGGCAAAAUGGUGCCGUAACUUCGGGAGAAGGCACGCUGAUAUGUAGGUGAAGUCCCUCGCGGAUGGAGCUGAAAUCAGUCGAAGAUACCAGCUGGCUGCAACUGUUUAUUAAAAACACAGCACUGUGCAAACACGAAAGUGGACGUAUACGGUGUGACGCCUGCCCGGUGCCGGAAGGUUAAUUGAUGGGGUUAGCGCAAGCGAAGCUCUUGAUCGAAGCCCCGGUAAACGGCGGCCGUAACUAUAACGGUCCUAAGGUAGCGAAAUUCCUUGUCGGGUAAGUUCCGACCUGCACGAAUGGCGUAAUGAUGGCCAGGCUGUCUCCACCCGAGACUCAGUGAAAUUGAACUCGCUGUGAAGAUGCAGUGUACCCGCGGCAAGACGGAAAGACCCCGUGAACCUUUACUAUAGCUUGACACUGAACAUUGAGCCUUGAUGUGUAGGAUAGGUGGGAGGCUUUGAAGUGUGGACGCCAGUCUGCAUGGAGCCGACCUUGAAAUACCACCCUUUAAUGUUUGAUGUUCUAACGUUGACCCGUAAUCCGGGUUGCGGACAGUGUCUGGUGGGUAGUUUGACUGGGGCGGUCUCCUCCUAAAGAGUAACGGAGGAGCACGAAGGUUGGCUAAUCCUGGUCGGACAUCAGGAGGUUAGUGCAAUGGCAUAAGCCAGCUUGACUGCGAGCGUGACGGCGCGAGCAGGUGCGAAAGCAGGUCAUAGUGAUCCGGUGGUUCUGAAUGGAAGGGCCAUCGCUCAACGGAUAAAAGGUACUCCGGGGAUAACAGGCUGAUACCGCCCAAGAGUUCAUAUCGACGGCGGUGUUUGGCACCUCGAUGUCGGCUCAUCACAUCCUGGGGCUGAAGUAGGUCCCAAGGGUAUGGCUGUUCGCCAUUUAAAGUGGUACGCGAGCUGGGUUUAGAACGUCGUGAGACAGUUCGGUCCCUAUCUGCCGUGGGCGCUGGAGAACUGAGGGGGGCUGCUCCUAGUACGAGAGGACCGGAGUGGACGCAUCACUGGUGUUCGGGUUGUCAUGCCAAUGGCACUGCCCGGUAGCUAAAUGCGGAAGAGAUAAGUGCUGAAAGCAUCUAAGCACGAAACUUGCC
rnacentral:rRNA from 1 species